GUCUACGGCCAUACCACCCUGAACACGCCCGAUCUCGUCUGAUCUCAGAAGCUAAGCAGGGUCCGGCCUGGUUAGUACUUGGAUGGGAGAAAACCACUAUCCCUAAGAAGUUGAAGAUG
ensembl:rRNA 5S_rRNA 5S ribosomal RNA